UACGUAGGUGGCAAGCGUUGUCCGGAUUUAUUGGGCGUAAAGCGAGCGCAGGCGGUUCCUUAAGUCUGAUGUGAAAGCCAACGGCUCAACCGCGGAAGGUCAUUGGAAACUGGGGAACUUGAGUGCAGAAGAGGAGAGUGGAAUUCCAUGUGUAGCGGUGAAAUGCGUAGAUAUAUGGAGGAACACCAGUGGCGAAGGCGACUCUCUGGUCUGUAACUGACGCUGAGGCUCGAAAGCGUGGGGAGCAAACAGGAUUAGA
rnacentral:rRNA from 1 species